GCUGGGUGUUGUGGCGGGCACCUGUGGUCCCAGCUACUUGGGAGGCUGAGGCAGGAGACUCACUUGAGCUCAGGAGUUGGAGGUUGCUGUGAGCUGUGAUGCCACGGCACUCUACCCAGGGGGACAGCUUGAGAGUCUGUCUAAAAAAAAAAAAAAGUUACACAUGACUAUUUUGACUGUGAGGGAGGGGGAGUUUGGCACCAAACCCUGUAUUGUUGGUUUGUUUUUUUGUUUGUUUUGUUUUGUUUUUGAGACAGAGCCUCAAGCUAUCCCCCUGGGUAGAGUGCUAUCGCAUCACAGCUCACAGCAACCUCCAACUCCUGAGCUCAAGCCAGUCUCCUGCCUCAG
rnacentral:SRP_RNA from 1 species